GCCAAGAUCAACGUCGAUGGAGCUGUGGCGCCCCACAGACGCAGCGGGGCGGUUUCGGCUGUGUGCCGAGAUCAUACAGGUCUAUAUUUGGGCUCCUCGGCGGUGGUUUUCAGAGGCAUCACUGAUCCCACAACCUUGGAAACAUUUGCUUGCAGGGAGGCAUUAGCACUUGCAGUUGAUCUACAUGAAACAAACUUAAUAGUAGCUUCGGAUUGCCAAGAUGAAAUAAUGCGUCAAAGGAACACUUUUGCUUCGGUCUCUUUUGUUCACGAGCGGAGAAACCAUAAUUUCGAAGCUCAUAAUCUCGCCAAAUUUUCUCGUAAUUUAGGAGUAGGUCAGCAUGUCUGA
rnacentral:rRNA from 1 species